rnacentral:rRNA from 1 species
GAAUAUUGCGCAAUGGACGAAAGUCUGACGCAGCCACGCCGCGUGCAGGAAGACACCCCUCAGGGGCGUAAACUGCUUUUAUACGGGAAGAACACCCUGGUCGCCAGGGAUUGACGGUACCGUAUGAAUAAGGACCGGCUAACUCCGUGCCAGCAGCCGCGGUAAUACGGAGGGUCCAAGCGUUGUCCGGAAUCACUGGGUGUAAAGGGUGCGCAGGCGGGCUUAUAAGUCAGGGGUGAAAGCCACCGGCUCAACCGGUGAACUGCCCUUGAUACUGUAAGUCUUGAGUCCUGGAGAGGCUGUCGGAAUUCGUGGUGUAGCGGUGAAAUGCGUAGAUAUCACGAGGAACACCGGAGGCGUAAGCGGACAGCUGGACAGGUACUGACGCUCAGGCACGAAAGCGUGGGGAGCGAACAGG